rnacentral:tRNA from 3 species
UUAAAAUCCUUCCUAGUGC